AUUGAACGCUGGCGGCAUGCCUUACACAUGCAAGUCGAACGGUAACAGGUCUUCGGAUGCUGACGAGUGGCGAACGGGUGAGUAAUACAUCGGAACGUGCCUAGUAGUGGGGGAUAACUACUCGAAAGAGUGGCUAAUACCGCAUGAGAUCUACGGAUGAAAGCAGGGGAUCGCAAGACCUUGUGCUACUAGAGCGGCCGAUGGCAGAUUAGGUAGUUGGUGGGAUAAAAGCUUACCAAACCGACGAUCUGUAGCUGGUCUGAGAGGACGAUCAGCCACACUGGGAAUGAGAAACGGCCCAGAAUCCUACGGGAGGCAGCAGUGGGGAAUUUUGGACAAUGGGCGCAAGCCUGAUCCAGCAAUGCCGCGUGCAGGAUGAAGGCCUUCGGGUUGUAAACUGCUUUUGUACGGAACGAAAAGCCCCGGGUUAAUACCCUGGGGUCAUGACGGUACCGUAAGAAUAAGCACCGGCUAACUACGUGCCAGCAGCCGCAGUAA
rnacentral:rRNA from 1 species